GUUGUUUAUUCUCAAAGGGGGCGGGGGACACAGUCUUGAGGAUAACCACGGGGACCUCUCGGUUGAAAUCCUAGCACUCUUUCGGAUGACCCCACAAGAGCGCAGAGGAGGAUCCCUGUGGCUGUGAUUCGAACAAAGGUUCCGGGCCACACUGGUAUAAUUUACAGUGGAGAUGAGUAAAUAACUUUUCAGGAUUGCUUGGGCUGCUAUUUUGAAAUGAGACAGAAGAGGAUCAAGGCCCAAUGCAGGAAGACCCUUUAGGAGGCUACUCCGUGAUCCAGGGCACCUAGAACAAAACUGAACUUUUGUGACGUUAGGCUGUCUCCUCACAACUUGAUGAUGCCUUCAGGCUCUAGUGAGGGAUAUCUGCACACGUGGUUUGUUCUGAUACAGACAUAUCCAACCUCUUCAUUCCAAACAACUGUCUCCAAAAGAGAAUGUGGCAAGUGUGUGUAACUGAGUAGCACACAGAAGGAAGAAGAAGGCAACCGUGGCUGAAAGCGACCCCACUCAAUCUCAUUCAUGACCAUGAGCUCCUUGAGAGAAGGAUCAAGCAAGCUCUUCUUUGCUCCUCUGGUGCCUGGUCUACUGAAAUUCCCAAAAGAAUCACCACUGUGAUGGAGCCUAUUAUCCGGAUGUCAUUGGUUGGAUCCACCAUCAUCGAAUUACUCUCCUGGAACAAAAAAAAAAAAUCACUAAAAUGGGAUCCUGUGGUGAGCAUCGCCUCUACAUCACUGUGCAGUUUCAAGUCUGUGUGCCAGUAAAGAAGCACUGGAAACCUGGUUUGAAAAUUCUCAAAAUGUCUCACUAGAGAAACCUGGACUGUCAUUAUCAUUCUGCCUUGUUUGUCUCCAGUUCUCUUUGGACAUAUUAAACUUAAGAAGCAUAGAAACCACCUACCAAACAUUAUGGAAGAAACAUCAGCAAGCACACAGCACAUCCACUUUUUUUUUUUUCUUUCCUUUUGUCAGCAGCAUCAGCAGAAACAUGAGGGCUCUUUCUUCUUUAGAAUUUGAACUCAGCAGACCUACACACUCCUUCCCCCUCUCCUCCCUCCCCACCUCCUUUCCUGCUCCCCAGCUUCAGAAAUACAAGAAAAGGAGACAUGCUUUUCAUCUGGACCUGCACUAGAAUCCUGUCGGUUAAUGCGAAGGGUAGGGGGAGAAAGUUACUCCGCAGGGAGAGGCGUCUCACCGUCCAUGCUUGUUGCCAUGGAGUUGAAAUCCAGCGAGUAGAUUUAAGUGUUGGCAGGUUUGUCUGUGUUCGCUGAUCGGUUCGGUAACAGUGUAAAAGACGUGUCCUGGGGAACCUGCGUGGAGUCACAGUACCGCGGUUAGCGCUUUACCGGCCUACGUGUGUAAAUGUCUGUAUCUGUCAGUGAGGGACAGAAGACGUGGGCGCCCGCGAAGUACGUGUGCGCGCGCGAGUAUAUUUGCAGGAAAAUGUGCACGGAUCUCUUCCAUGUGGCAGUGUGUAAAUAUUUGCGCGCGCGUGUGCGUAUGUGAGGGCGUCUGACCGUGUGUGUCUGUGAGAGAGAGAAGCGGUGGGAAGUGAGAGGGGUUAGGGAACCGGCCACGGCAGCAACAGGCUCCAUAGUCUUCAGCUCUGCAAAAAAAUUUAAAAAGGCUCAUUUUCACUCAUAUCACACUUGCAGGUUAGCAAUCGGAGUUCAUCACCUGUUUGUCUUUCUAAGGCAGUGGAGGUGUUAAUUAAUGUAUUGUUAAAAUACUUGUUUUCCUCUUCUGUCUGCAUCAGUAGCUGUGCCGCGGGCAUUUUGUUGUGCUCGGUGACUGCAGUCUCAGUCGAGGAGUAGGCAAUAAAUUCCUACGUCUUUCUUCUCAUCCUAUAAAGGAAAGACGUGGGUGACGGGUGUAUUGGUUUAACUGGGGACCGCAUGCGUCAUUUGGAGUUAUUUUUCCCUACCCUUCGCCUUGCCUAUGCAAACCCAACAGCAUCCCCUCCUCUUCUUAGGAGUAGGUGCCUAGGCGCUGUCCGUAGUGCUGAAACGUUGCGUAGUAUGACCUAGCUCCCACAGACGAGCUGCAAGACAGCAAGCGAGGAACCCUCCGAUAAAGCCCACAGGAAGUUGUGAGACACGUUUUCUGAACGGUGUUGAAUAUUUAGAAACCAAACCUAAACCACAUUGAAAGCAAAACAAAACAAAACAAAGACAGGCAAACAAACUCAGUUGUAAGGUUCCGGUUCUAUUCAUCUUUGGAUACUAUAUCCAGAACCUACAAGUUGCAAACACUUGUAGAUUCCUUUAAAACUUAAUCAUUACUUUAUGAAUUAUUAACUAUUCAGAGAUUGGGAAAAGUGUAGAUGCAGAAUUAGGUCAUUAUUCAUGUAAAAAAAUGCUGAAAACAAGUAAAAGUGUGCUAUAGUUCAAUAAUAAAGUGAAGACAAACUUUAUGUUCAUUUAGCGUAUUUACUAAAUUAGGAAAUUUCAUGGUCUUACAAAAAAUGCACGAUGUAUGACUGUGAGUUCAUACAAGACUAUACUCAAAAAAACUUACUCUUUUUCAUUUAAAACUAUUAAACACCCUAUAAUAUAGGCCCACCAAGGAAGAGAGUGGAAGAAGUGUCUUCUUCUGGGAACAUGUUCAUUGCCAUGGUUUUAUUGACUCUUUUUUUUAAGCUUGCUAAGGGCCACAUCCAUUUUUGGUACUAUAUACUAGAGCAGUGCUUCUUGAAAUUGAAUGUGAAUCCCCUGGGGAUCUUGUUAAAAUGCAGGUUCUCAUUCAGUAAGUGUGAGAUUGGGUCUUAGAUUCUGAAUUUCUAACAACAUCCCAGGUGAUUCCAGAGGUUGCUGGUCUCAGGACUAAACUUAAAAUAACAAGGUUCUAGAGAUACUGUGUUCUGGCCAUGCAGUCACCCACAGAGUAUGCAAAAGGAGGUCAUUAUCUUUCAUCUAUUAUUCUCUGUAUGUUUCUAGACUGUUGCAAGGAUAUGCUAUUCAAAUAAGUUCAGAGAUUAACCAUUUUAUUUGCACAGUAUUAACAAACUGUUUAUGAAUUUAUCAUUUGAUUGACUUUGACAUUGUCUAGACACAUGCUACAGUUUGCUUCACUCUAUAUUUCCAUACUAUGAUCUGCAAUCACCCAUUCUCUUUGCAAGCCAAGCUUAAGAAAGCAGAAACAAGUUACGUGAUUCUACUACUGGUAUAUGGGCCCCACUCCAAGAAUUUGUUAUCAUGAUUGAAGACUUAAACUUGUCAUUUUAUGACUUUAAAUAUGGUUCUGUAGUAAAUGCUCAUGAUACUGAUUUUAAAAAUUUAGACAUUAUAGAUCUAAUUCUCACCCAGUUUAGAAAGUGGAAGAGGACCAUUGUUUCACAGACCUUUUGAAUGAAAUCUGAUCUGUCAUAUCAUUGACAUAAUACAUUUAUACUUAGAUUUUGAAGAAAUCAUCCUCUGGAUGAUUUUCUGAUUUUUAAAAAAAUCCAUACCUACAUCAGUUGUACAGUGCUUUCAGUUAAUGCUUUUGAGUUGAUGCCAAAGGAAAGUUUUGACUAUAAAUUAGGUUCCUUGGUGUUAGCUGGUGCAUGACCUUGACCUUUUUCAAGCUAUAUGAACAGUGGUGAUGUUCUGGAAAGUCUGCAAAGUGGUUCAUUCAGGAAAGUGUAAUGGAUUAAACAUCAAUUAUGUUCCACUUCCUUUGCUAUAUGCUGGGAUACAAAGAUGAAUGAGAUUUGGUCUCUGCCCUUGAUGAGGUAUUUUGCAAAACAACAUGGCAGAUUCUACAAAGUUCUAUAGAAGCACAGAGAUUAAUAAUGUAUGUUUUAUUCUCCAUUGCCAAAGAAGUGAUGAAGAAUAGCAAAAUAGAAAAACCCAGGUGUAUUUAAAAUACAGGUGUAUUUCAGGUCAUUGCCAAUGUCUGCUGCCCAACUUUUAAUUACAAAUUGUUGAAAGAUAUGAUAUAUAUGAACACUUUCCUAAAGCACAUAUGGUUAACCUGUACUUCUGGAUUGUCUAUGAUUUAUUUUCAGAGGAAUCCAAAUUAUUAGAAAGGUAAAUAUAUGGGUGGCAUUGGUUAGACCUCCUCCCAAAUUAAUUGCCUUUACUAUGCAUUGACUUUACACUUACAGCUUAUAUGCAAGUAUUUUAUAUAAAGCAAUCCUUAGCUUACACAGCCUGCUCUAUGUCUGGUAUGCGAUUGUUACUAAAGACUUGCCCAACACAUCCUUUACUAUUCCUAAUAUGACAUCCCUCCAAAAACAUUUCUCUCAAUACCAGUUUCAUGAAUUGAACUCUCACACCCCUCCUCUUCACUUAAAUCAUCCCAAGGUAGGUGGUGUGUUCUCUUCUUAUAUACAGUAUAUAUCCUGUAGCUGAUCACAUGUGCCUUUUCUUUUAGUUACCAGGGACGUCAGGGUCAAAUUAAUAGCUAAAAAUUAGUAACUGUGUAAGAUCUUCAGGCCUCUGUAUGUGUGUUCUUUCUUUAUUGCCUUGAAUACUGCAAUUUUGUUUGCUCAGGUAUUGGUAUAUUAUUUUCUUUUAAUUAUCUGUUUUAAUGUGUGUCCUCAUAUAAAUGUCCUCAUGGAAUCAGAAAUGGAGUAAAUAAAUUAAAAAAUAAGUAAAUAAGUAAAUAUUUUCUCUACUUUUUGGCAAAAAAAUGUUGACUACUGGGUGAAUAUAUAUGGUUGUUUUACAAAUUUGUUUUUAACAAGAUAUUAAGUAUAGAAGAAAUGAUUAGUUAGCUAUAAAGAUAAAAAUCUAAUUUAUUAUGACUAAAAAAUAAAUGUUAAGUUA